rnacentral:rRNA from 1 species
GCAUAUCAAUAAGCGGAGGAAAAGAAACUAACAAGGAUUCCCCUAGUAACUGCGAGUGAAGCGGGAAAAGCUCAAAUUUAAAAUCUGGCGGUCUUUGGCCGUCCGAGUUGUAGUCUGGAGAAGCGUCUUCCGCGUUGGACCGUGUACAAGUCUCUUGGAACAGAGCGUCAUAGAGGGUGAGAAUCCCGUCUUUGACACGGACUACCAAUGCUUUGUGAUGCGCUCUCAAAGAGUCGCGUUGUUUGGGAAUGCAGCGCAAAAUGGGAGGUGAAUUCCUUCUAAAGCUAAAUAUUGGCGAGAGACCGAUAGCGAACAAGUACCGUGAGGGAAAGAUGAAAAGCACUUUGGAAAGAGAGUUAAACAGUACGUGAAAUUGCUAAAAGGGAAACGCUUGAAGUCAGUCGCGUCGUCCGGAACUCAGCUUUGCUUCGGCUUAGUGCACUUUCCGGUUGACGGGCCAGCAUCGAUUUUGACCGCUGGAAAAGGGCUGGAGGAAUGUGGCACCUUCGGGUGUGUUAUAGCCUUCAGUCGCAUACAGCGGUUGGGAUCGAGGAACGCAGCGCGCCUUAUGGCUGGGGUUCGCCCACAUUCGCGCUUAGGAUGCUGGCAUAAUGGCUUUAAACGACCCGUCUUGAAACACGGACCAAGGAGUCUAACAUGCCUGCGAGUGUUUGGGUGGAAAACCCGAGCGCGUAAUGAAAGUGAAAGUUGAGACCUCUGUCGUGGAGGGCAUCGACGCCCGGACCUGACGUUUUCUGAAGGAUCCGCGGUAGAGCAUGUAUGUUGGGACCCGAAAGAUGGUGAACUAUGCCUGAAUAGGGUGAAGCCAGAGGAAACUCUGGUGGAGGCUCGUAGCGAUUCUGACGUGCAAAUCGAUCGUCAAAUUUGGGUAUAGGGGCGAAAGACUAAUCGAACCAUCUAGUAGCUGGUUCUGCGA